rnacentral:rRNA from 1 species
UACGGAGGUGGCAAGCGUUGCUCGGAAUCACUGGGCGUAAAGCGCACGUAGGCGGAUCUUUAAGUCAGAGGUGAAAUCCCAAGGCUCAACCUUGGAACUGCCUUUGAUACUGGGGAUCUCGAGUCCGGAAGAGGUGAGUGGAACUGCGAGUGUAGAGGUGAAAUUCGUAGAUAUUCGCAAGAACACCAGUGGCGAAGGCGGCUCACUGGUCCGGUACUGACGCUGAGGUGCGAAAGCGUGGGGAGCAAACAGG